GCCGCUCCGGACGGCGUUGCUGCGGGGUUCGUGCGGGGCGGCGUUGCGGGAUCCUCCGUUAUUCCUCCGGGACUCCCCGGUUCUGUCCGUCGCUGAUUGGCGGUUCUUUGUUUCCUCCUCGUUUUUGAACGGCCGCCCCUCCGCUUCUCCGCUCCGCCCCGCCGCGCUCCGCACCGCCGGUUCCGUCGGGAUGGGUUCGGCGUUGCGGGGCGCUGCGGGGUUGCGGGCGCUGUUGGCGCUGUUGGCGCUGAACGCUGCCGGUGCGGUUCGGAAGGAGCUGCAAGGUAAGAGAAUCCGGUACCGCGCCGGACCGACGAACGGAACCGCCCGAACCGAUGGGGCGAUCGAGAGCCGCUGGCGGGGAGGCGGGGAGGUGGCGGCGGUUCGUCGUCCUGCCGUGUCCGGACCGGGGGGUGUCGGUGUCGGUCCCGGUCCGGUGUCGGUGAGGCAGGGAGGUGGUAGCGGUUCUUCGUCACGCUGUGCCCGUACCGGGUGGUGUCGGUCCCGGUCCCGGUGUCCAUCCUGGUGUCAGUCCCGAUGUCGGUCCCGGUCCCGGUGUCGGUCCCGGUGCAGCGGGGAGGUGGUGGCGGUUCGCUGUUCUGCUGUGCCCGCACCGAGGGCUGUCGGUCCCGGUAUCGGUCCUGGUGUCGGUCCUCAUGUCGGUGUCGGUCCUGGUGUCCACCCGGUGUUGGUCCCGGUUCCCGUGUCGGUCCCGGUCCUGUUAUCGAUCCUGGUCCCGGUCCCGAUGUCGGUCCCGGUCCUGUUGUCGGUCCCGGUCCUGUUGUCGGUCCUGGUUCCGGUCUCCGUGUCCGUCCCGGUCCUGUUGUCGGUCCUGUUAUCGGUCCCGGUCCUGUUGUCGGUCCGGGUCCCGGUGUCGGUCCCGGUCCUGUUGUCGGUCCUGGUUUCGGUCUCCGUGUCCGUCCCGUUCCUGUUGUCGGUCCGGUGUCGGUCCUGUUGUCGGUCCGGGUCCCGAUGUCGGUCCCGGUCCCGGUCCGGUGCCGUUGGCGGCCGCCGCCUGGGAGGUCCGACAGCACAGACGAGCAUUCAUGACCGGACCCCCCCACCCCCCCCCCAACUUUGCGGGUCACCGCAGCUCCGGGACGGUUUGGGGUUUUGGGUUUGGGGGGGGGCGGUUCCGUUUAUUGGGA
rnacentral:lncRNA from 1 species